rnacentral:sRNA from 1 species
UCUGAAUCUGAUUUUGCUGAUGAUUCCUCUGCUUCUUCUUCUUCUUCUUCGGG